GACAGAGGAUGCAAGCGUUAUCCGGAAUGAUUGGGCGUAAAGCGUCUGUAGGUGGCUUUUAAGUCCGCCGUCAAAUCCCAGGGCUCAACCCUGGACAGGCGGUGGAAACUACCAAGCUGGAGUACGGUAGGGGCAGAGGGAAUUUCCGGUGGAGCGGUGAAAUGCGUAGAGAUCGGAAGGAACGCCCGUGGCGAAAGCGAGGCCCUGGACCCUUACUGACGCUGAGACGCGAAAGCCAGGGGAGCGAACGGG
rnacentral:rRNA from 1 species